GGUCCCGUGGUGAAGCCUGGAGUUCACGCCGCCCUGUCAAGGCGGAGGUCGCGGGUUCGAAUCCCGUCGGGACCGCCA
rnacentral:tRNA from 3 species